AGAUAGAGAGACAAGAUUGAAGGGGGGGGGGCGGACAAGGACGGAGCAGUUCGUACAAGGAGACGAGGGGCUGACAAGGUAGGUGGCAGCCUGCAAAGAGUAGCAUGAGGAGACUAAAAGUCAAAAGGGGUCCACUUAAUAUGCCUAACAUCUUCCGUGGCUUUUCCUGACAUCAUGAGAAUAGCAGAAAGGUAUUCAGGCUGUCCAUCACACCUGGUCCAUGCCCUAUCAGGAAACUGAACAGAGGUGAAAGGAUUUAUUGGUGGUUGGCCAGCUCAAGCAUGUUAAAAGCAGCAUUUGAACCCAGGUCUUCCUGAUGCCAAACCCAGGGUCUUUUGAACCACACCGUGCUGUCUCAACAACAGGAAAAUAAACUCUUCAUUGUAAAAAAGUGCAACUCUAAACAAGUGGGAAGCUAUACAGGCCUAUUGGGAUGGUGUCCUGGAAAGAAUGGCUGAACUUGGAGUCUCAAAACUUAAGUUCCAAUUCUACUUUUGCUUUGUACUAUUUGUACCCCCCCACCCCCCAGGGGGUUGGACCAAGAAGGAAGUAUUUGAAUAAAGCAA